GUAAACUUCGCAAGAACGGGAAGAAUAAGUAGGGGACAAUACCCCCUAUGAUGACGGUACCGUUUGUAAGCUCCGGCUAACUCCGUGCCAGCAGCCGCGGUAAUACGGGGGGAGCAAGCGUUGUUCGGAUUUACUGGGCGUAAAGGGCGCGUAGGCGGCCAGCNCAAGUCAGUUGUGAAAUCUCCGAGCUUAACUCGGAAAGGUCAACUGAUACUGNGCGGCUAGAGUGCNGAAGGGGCAACUGGAAUUCUUGGUGUAGCGGUGAAAUGCGUAGAUAUCAAGAGGAACACCUGCGGCGAAGGCGGGUUGCUGGGCNGACACUGACGCUGAGGCGCGAAAGCUAGGGGAGCGAACGGGAUUAGAUACCCCGGUAGUCCUAGCCUUAAACGAUGAAUGCUUGGUGUCUGGGGUUAUAUAGUCCCCGGGUGCCGUCGCUAACGCUUUAAGCAUUCCGCCUGGGGAGUACGGUCGCAAGACUGAAACUCAAAGGAAUUGACGGA
rnacentral:rRNA from 1 species